CACGUAGGGCGCAAGCGUUGUCCGGAAUUAUUGGGCGUAAAGAGCUCGUAGGCGGUCUGUUACGUCUGCUGUGAAAACCCGGGGCUUAACCCUGGGCUUGCAGUGGAUACGGGCAGACUAGAGGCAGGUAGGGGAGAAUGGAAUUCCCGGUGUAGCGGUGAAAUGCGUAGAUAUUGGGAGGAACACCAGUGGCGAAGGCGGCUCACUGGACCGGUACUGACGCUGAGGCGCGAAAGCGUGGGGAGCAAACGGG
rnacentral:rRNA from 1 species